rnacentral:rRNA from 1 species
GACGAACGCUGGCGGCGCGCUUAACACAUGCAAGUCGAACGGUGAACGGGGCUUCGGCCCCCGGAUCAGUGGCGAACGGGUGCGUAACACGUGGGCAACCUGCCCCUCACUCUGGGAUAACCCCGGGAAACCGGAGCUAAUACCGGAUACUCCGAACGGAUCGCAUGGUCCGAUCGGGAAAGGUCCGCCGGUGAGGGAUGGGCCCGCGGCCUAUCAGCUUGUUGGGGAGGUAACGGCUCACCAAGGCGACGACGGGUAGCUGGUCUGAGAGGACGACCAGCCACACUGGGACUGAGAUACGGCCCAGACUCCUACGGGAGGCAGCAGUGGGGAAUCUUGCGCAAUGGGCGAAAGCCUGACGCAGCGACGCCGCGUGGGGGAUGAAGGCCCUCGGGUUGUAAACCCCUUUCGGCAGGGGCGAAGCGGUUCCGUGACGGUACCUGCAGAAGAAGCCUCGGCUAACUACGUGCCAGCAGCCGCGGUAACAC